ACGCUCACAAACUGCUUCAGUCGUUCCAAAUACUGAUUGUAAAGCUCCACGUCGUUGUGACCCGCUCCCUGAAACCAAAUAUACAGAUGUAAAUUUGUUGACACCAUUUUUCAUUGUUAGUCUUGGACAUCGUUCGUAAAUCGCUAGACCAUGGCUAAAGUCUAUAACUUCGUCUUCCGUCCCGUGGAUGACCAGAACAGGCGACGUCACUUUUGGAACUUUAUCUAUACUGUAACGGAAGAAAAGAAAAACAAUAAUAUCGAAGAAAAAAAUUCAUCGAAACCUGAUGAGAUCACAUUUUUAUUUCACGCACGUUAUCAUAAUCUGAUCUCUGUCUCACAUCUUUCAUCGAUAAUUAAUGUAUGAAGAAAGGUGCGGAAAUAGAAUACAUAUUAAGUGAAUAAAUGAUUGGCGUUCCAGUCAAACGCGACAACUUAUUUUUGCAUCACAUAUAACGUUGUACACGGUAGGUAAGGUAUAUAUGUCCCCAGUGCAAAUAUAUCCAAGGCAAAGUGUAAAAUGCUUAGUACAAACAAAUGCGCUGUACACAUAACUGCUUGCUGUGUCCAUGGAUAUACGCGGGUGACACUACAUAAGAAGUUUGAUUCACUCUGCCUACUGUUACUUCGUUCGUCUGUAGGUAGUUUUGAAUAUCUGUAAAAGGUGUCCCAGAAAAUGUAUGCCAGACUACGUAUGCUAUUUCUCUGCCUCUAACACAAAAGAAUAUUACGUGGAUACUUUCACAUUAGCUGUACUUGAUAUUCAUACAAUGUAUGUGUCUAGCAAAGAUAUUAAUUGGCGCAAUGCAAAUGUACGAAAAUCAAAUCGCUAAUGAAAGAUUGAAUAGUAGAAAAGUGACUCAAGAUAUCAGUUUAGACCGAGUAUCUUGGAGAGGAUUAAUUGGAGGACAAAAAACACCUUCAUCAUUCUGCAUUAAUCGUUCUUAGGAUUCUUUAAACAAUGAUUCAUUACGUUUGAAUAUCAGAGCUGUGCGUCAAUGAUAACUUUGAGAAUUGAUUGUGAAUAACCGUACAGCAUGAAUAAUUAUCUCUACCCCGGAUUCUACCAUGUGGUAGUACGGGGUACUAAUAGUUUUAUUAAUGAUGGUGAAAGAACAAAGGAAUAAAACGAAAAGUCAA